rnacentral:rRNA from 1 species
AUGAGGAGGUUGAGCCGCUGCCCGCCGCCGGCCUCCUCUCCUCCCCGUUCCUCUCCAGCCACCGAGUUCGCCGCCGCUGUUCCUCCCUCCUCCUAUCCAUGGGAUCUCCACCGGCCCUCCCUCGUGCUCAAGUUGUGGAGGGGCGACAUGCAACGGUGGACGAGAAGCCGCCGCCAGUUGUCCUCUUACUGCGCCGACCUGCACCAUCUCUGCCACCUCCCCAAGCUGAUGUGCGUCGCCUCCCUCCUCUCAAUGCUGUUGUCUCUGCUGCGGUGCUAUGGCUGCCUCCCGAAGCAACUGAAGCUCGCCUGCUCCUCAUCUGUCAAUGGCGUCCCCAAGCAGAGACCCGGAGAAGAACAAGCAACUUUAUCUGAAAAUGGAAGAGCUAGUACCAAAGAGCCCCAACCCACCUCCACGAUCAAGUUCUACAUGCAAUUCAUGGAUAGUGGUUGUCGGCACAUCUUUUAA